rnacentral:rRNA from 1 species
CCAAGGCUAAAUACUCCUGACUGACCGAUAGUGAACCAGUACCGUGAGGGAAAGGCGAAAAGAACCCCGGCGAGGGGAGUGAAAAAGAACCUGAAACCGUGUACGUACAAGCAGUGGGAGCACCUUCGGGUGUGACUGCGUACCUUUUGUAUAAUGGGUCAGCGACUUAUAUUCUGUAGCAAGGUUAACCGUAUAGGGGAGCCGCAGGGAAACCGAGUCUUAACUGGGCGUUAAGUUGCAGGGUAUAGACCCGAAACCCGGUGAUCUAGCCAUGGGCAGGUUGAAGGUUGGGUAACACUAACUGGAGGACCGAACCGACUAAUGUUGAAAAAUUAGCGGAUGACUUGUGGCUGGGGGUGAAAGGCCAAUCAAACCGGGAGAUAGCUGGUUCUCCCCGAAAGCU